GGGCAACAAGCAUAUAUGCUUAAGCGCCUACUAUGUGCCCUUCAGGUGCCUGAAGGUCCUAGACUCUGGAAUUGCUGAGACAAACCCGAAACAAUCCCUGCCCUCGGGGGGGGUUUACUCAACUCCCGGACUCUCUAGAAGAGCCAAAAUAAUCUGGGGAAGGAGAACAAGAGCACAAGUCUGGGGAAGAAGACAGGCGUCCCCUUGGGAAAUGACAGAAGGCAGAGAGGGGAAGGAAGAGUUCGGUGAAUAACAGCACUGCUGCCUGGCCCCACACAGCAGCUCAGUAACUGCCCCCUUGAUGGAUUGAAAUAAGUCUGGAAAGGUGGGUUAAAACCAGCGUGGGAAACCAGGAGUAGCCUGGCCUUUAAUUCUGUAAGUAAUGGGGAGCCACGGGGAGCUCGGAGCUGCAGAGGUGCUCUGCUGCUGCCAGAGGCCCUCUUUCCCAGACUCAGAGAAGGGCGGCUGAGACGCAGGAAUCCAAGGCAGCUAAAUCGUCGCGUUCCCGGAGCCUCUACCUCUCUUCACUCCUCGCCUCCACCCAACCCAGACCACCCAGGCACAGCCCUUCCUAAUGGCCCCCGAAGCGGGAAAGAGCCAAAUGGGUGCGGAGAACUGAGGGCUUAAGCAGGAAGGAGCUAACAGAGCAGCGGAGCCUGCCCGGCCUCUAGGGGUCGCUGGGCUCUUGAGCUCCGGUCUCUUUUAGCGUAGAGGAUCCCUUACCAUAAAUGACGGAAAGAGCCUAGAGGCCACACAUAGACAAAGGGGCUCCCUCCUUCGUAUUCAGUCUGGGCAGAUAUUUUUUAAAGUUUCACACCAGGUAUUUACGGUAGCGAGAAUUCUGACAGGCAGCUCCAGUUUGCAAUACUAUCCAGUAGAGGAAGAAAGACUCUUUUUCUUCGUAGUCAGGAUGGCCGAGCGGUCUAAGGCGCUGCGUUCAGGUCGCAGUCUCCCCUGGAGGCGUGGGUUCGAAUCCCACUUCUGACAAUUACUUUUUGAAAAAAAAUUUCUCCUUACUAACUGAACUCUUCGGGAAGCUACUCGGCUGCUGCGCCGGCGCCAGGGUCCUUGGGCAGGCGCAAGCGGAACACCGCCUGCCCUCUGUAUAGCGAAGUUCGCUUUGGGAAGCGCUUUCUUCAUCGCGCUCCUAUGGCGACCUGGUGCAAGGAUGGAGGAGUCCCCGGCUCCGAAUGGGGCGUCGUUGGGGUGCCCUCCCUACUCGUUGAUCGGUCACUCGGUUAGGCAAUAAACAUUUAUUAAGCACCUACUAUGUGCCAGGCGGUGUGCUGAGCUCUGGGGAUACAAAGAAUGGCAAAAGACAGGCCCUGCCCCCAAGGAGCUUACAGUCUAACGAGGACGGCAACGUGCAAACACCUCUAUGCAAGCAAGAUUUUGCCGUCCUCGCAGCUGCCCACACUGAGACCCUGGGAGGCCUGCUUUGUCCCUCCCCAACAUCUGUAGAAUGAGGAGGUCUGACCAGGACCCCCGUUGUUCUCCAAACACAGCAUUCUGUUUGCAAAAUUUUCGAUGGACUUAUCACUCACUACAUACAAAUGUGCAAUUUUCCACACAUUGACUGGGAGAGGCCCCAGUUCCUCAAACUGCAGUUCAUCAGAAUUUCUUCAAGAGGUGGGGAUGAGGAGAGUUGAUAAGAUGUUAUAACCUUAUCGUUAACAGUAAGUGACAACAUCAUUAUUAAAAUAUAACCUAUUUAAUACUUAAGUUUUUAAACAAUUUUACUCUUUUAGCAAUCUCAUUCCUAAGAUAUAAAAAACUUAUGUUAGUCAAAUAGCAACUUACCCAAUUUCAAAGUAACCAUUUAUUCCAGCAUGAAUGACUUUUUAUCUCAUAAUUUCUCUAUUUUGGAAAAGAAUUAUUUCUAGACAGUUUAUUAAAGACACAACAAAAAUCUGCAUGCCAAAUUGCAAGUAUUUGAGCAACCCCAGGGGUGAAUGUUAUUACUAGAGAUUGGAAACAGGUGACAAAGGACUGUUUUCCCAGCCUAAAGGAUACUGAGGAAAGGACGACACAGUUUGACCACAGUGGGAGUUGGAGGGCUGAUAUAAGACUUUUUGUCCACACAGAAAGCUCUAAGGCGUUUUGUUUCACUGACAUAGUGUGACCUUCCUCAAACUGCAAUCUCUUAUACUGUUAGCAGGGCUACUAAGAGCUUGUGACUUCCCUCAGGCAGAAAGCCUAGGGAAGGUAAAGAGAACAACGGUUAAUAUAAUGCUAGGCAUGUAUUUUAGGCAACACACAGAAGGCCCCAAAAAGCAGGCUCCGAGGCUUGAUUGUUAGCUUUUAAGUUGCUCUUAGCUACUUUAAGAGGGGCAAUGAUGUUAUAUUUUUCCAAGUCAUUACUACCCUUUGUAGUUUUAACACUGAGGUGGAAGACUGCUCCUGAUAGCAUCAAUCUCAUCCCCCAUGUUAAAGACUAGGAAAAAGGCAGGAAAAGGUUUCUUAGGAAGGCUUUGAUUAAAGCCUACUAAUUUCUUUUCUUGAAUUCCAUAUUCCUACCCUUGCUCUCUCUCCCUCCUUGAAGAAGCAAGCAACUUUAUAUAAAUUAUACUUGCGCAGUAAUGCAAAACAUUUCUAUAUUAGCUAUGUUGCAAAAGAAAACCCAGACCAAACGCCCCCUCCCAAGAAUAAUACAGUAAAAAAUAUACUUCAAUCUCCCUUCAGACUCCAUCACUUCUUUCUCUGUAGUGGUUAACAUUUUUUUAAAAAUCAUGGGUUCUUUGCAAUUGUCUUGGAUCAUUGUAUUGCUAAGAAUAGUUGUCAUUCACAGUUGAUAAAUCAUAAAAUACUGUAAAGCCUCUUCAUUUUUUUAAGUAUGCAUAAGCUGUAAGGCAGGCAGUUACGGCUGUUAUUAUUGAAAUACUAUUGGGGAUUUGUUUGUUUUUGCUGUUGACACAAAAUAUUUUCAAAAUACUACUGAGUGAAAAACUAGAUAACAAGGUGUAAGCAGCCUCCCGACCUUUGAUAGAUAGGAUUUUCUCCAGUUCUAAUGCUGUUGCUCCAGCUGCAAGGGCUGAGAAACUUGGUGCUGAGUUUAAAAAAAAAAGGGCUUUAAAGCUUCUCCUUGAUUUAAUCUGUCUUUUAAGACUUCCAAAAACUUAUCUUCAAAGCCCUCUAUUCACCCUGUGAGUAUAAACAGACUGCAACUUUUAUAAGCUUUAAAUCCUUCAAAGUUGCCUGUUUCUUUCAGAUUCCAACACUGCCUUCUUUCUUCUACUUGCUUAAAACAUCUUCUGAAACGAAACUGCCUCCUUCCCCGUUCUAUUUGUAUAGUCAGGGAGAAGAGCCACGAGACAGCUGCCAAGUACAAGCUGGAAGGUUGGCAGGAUGGCAGAACCAAAGCAGAGUAAAAUACAAACUCACUUCCCCUCAAAAGCUGUUAAAGUGAAAGCCAGCCCACCGAACAAGCUAAGGCAAAGCGUCAAAUCCCAAGUACAGUCAAAACAUGUAUGAAGAAACCUUUACAUUGCAAUUUGAAAAGUAUUUGAGUACGUGCUUAUCAACUUGAUAAGUUACAGGAAGUCACCCCCAAAUCACCAAAACUGUUCCCUAGGUUGUUCACUGCUGUUAUGCAAAGGUUACUCUUUGCGUGGUCAAGAGGAAUUUUCUUAAUGAGAGAGAAUAAAGCGCAAAAUGUCAACAGGUACAGUAUAAGACGAGCUUGAAAAGAGAAUUAAUUUGGAUUUAAAUCAUUCAUCUUGUAGAUUGGAAAUCAAGAUUCCCUUCUUUCUCAUCUGUCAAAGGAUUUAAUUCUAUAGGGUCCUGAAUCGCUGGCCUUUCACAGUCACCCAAAACCAGAUACCUGUUGUCUCAGGCCGUGAUGUCGGGUCUGUUAUCCUCCGGGUCACUGUAGAGGAGAGGCACACGUGGAAGAGGAAACAGGUCUUGCUGACUUCAGGUGGAGUCCCAGUGGCCCCCAUCAGUCCCACAGGCUCUUCAGAGGUAGACUGAUCAGGGGACAGCUAGGUGGCGCAGUGGAUAGAGCAGCGGCCCUGGAUUCAGGAGGACCUGAGUUGAAAUUUGGGCUCAGGCACUUGACACUUACUAGCUGUGUGACCCUGGGCAAGUCACUUAAACCCUCACUGACCCGCAAAAAAAAACAAAAAACAAAAACAAAACAGAGGUAGACAGAUCAGACAGAACCUGAGGUCGGUGUCCCCUUUAACCUCGUAGGGAGGAGGAGUCUUUGGCAAACAAGAAAUGAGCUCAGUGGAAAGAGCAAAGAGUGGCUUGCACACCUGUACCAUUUGUUUUACAGCAAUAGAUCUGUGUUAAGCUGCUCCGAAGGAUAAUGGGGUAAACGCCUAUAACCUAUUUAUAACUUACCCCUUUAAUAGUCCUCCUACGGUUGGCUACCCUAUGUUUAAACAAUUUAAUGCUAGAAAUAUUUCCCAAGUAAAAGCCCUCCCAUCUGUCUCGCUUGCAAAAGAUCAUACUUGGCUUUAAUUCUUUCUAAACCCUCCAAGAGUCCCGGCAAGCCCCUAAGUGGGAGCUGCGUGAUGCCGGUUCGGUGCUACGUGUGGUUCACCAGUAAAAGGAGAGGGGAAGCCCGGCAUUUCGGCUCAGCCCCCAUCUCUCCAAACAGCUUAGCUUUAUACCGCUCCUCCUUGAUCUUGUUCUUUAAAUACCUCCAUUUCACCCUACAACGCGAGGCGCGGUGGCCCUUUCGUUUACAAAAAGAACAGCUGUGGUCUCCGGAGACCUUCUGAACGGGAGUCAGAACCGGGAUCGUCUGCGUUCUCGUUUCCUCUCGGACCUUUUCUUUGUUUCUUUCUGCAUGAACAUACUGCGCGAUGGUUCUUUUGAGCUCUUCUACGUCCUUUUUAGACCAAAUAGGGCACUUGAUCUCAGGUUGGGAAUGAUUAACAAGGGUCAAAAGAUGACGGGGUCCCUUUUCCUCUUGUGAGGGCAUUUGAAAUGUGCUCAGAUUUGGGGGGUAGGCGGUGCAGACCGUUUCCCUGAUGAAGGAAUCCCUACCUAGGAACAGCCUGGCACAAUUGGCUGGCUGGUUAGGGGCCCAUUGUGGAUCUUGUAAAGGCCAAUUACAAAGACCCUCUGGGCCACGUUUAUUUGCAGCUUUUAGGAUGGCUGUAUUUUCCUUAAGAGGGAGGAAGAUUUCCAUUAAGUCAGCAACGUUCUAUAGUCAGCCCUAUAGGAGCAGGUUCCAAAGGGUCGGACUCUCUUUAAAGGUUUUCUGUUAUUUCUCUAAGAAUCUCCUACCUAUAGAAGACCCGGUCCCUGGGGGGUUCCCUGAGAAAAAUAAAAAGAAAGUAGUGUCAAAGACAUACUUAAAGGGAAACACACACACACACACAGAAGGGCAUUACUUUUUUGGGAGGUUUUUAGUCUCCCUUAAUUUUCUUAACAUAUUUAUUUAAAGUUCUGUGCUCCAAUUUUUUUCCCUUUCCUUCCCUCCCUGAGGUGGCAAACAGAUAUGGGUUAUACAUGUAUG